UUGAAAUGAUCUAUAUAUAGAGCUUGUGGAGAAUUAAUAAACUAACUACCUAACUACUUAUUAUACUAAUUAACUAUUAAGGGAGUUGCAACUAACACCAAAACAAAUGGUAACUAACUUACUAAACAAUCAUCAAUAGUUCUAUUAUCCUCCCUCAAGUUGAUACUGAUAUGAUCACCACCCACUUGAAUUACAAGCAUCUAAAGUUAUUAUGAAACAUGUAAAAUGAUAAAAAAAGAGAGUUUAUUGGCAAAUGUAGAACCAUGAAAAAUAAGAAGUCACUAGGAGGCACACAACACACUCGUAGGUGUUAUGCUAACAUCGAAGACAUAUUUGAGUUUUGUAGAGAUGUCGUGCAUCAUAAUUGAUGCGCUUCAACCAUGAUACAUCGGUUGUCAAAGCAAACUCAAAGAAAUAAAGACGAACAAAAUCUAGAGUGAAAAACACGAAAUUGAAACAGUUGUUCUUGAGUUGCAAGAUAUAGGAGUAAAGGAUUUCACACGCUGCAAUUUCUAGUUGAUGAGAAGUCUUCUUUGAUUCACACAUUAUCUUGUUGAUAAGAAACUCUUCUUGAAUCUAUUUUCAUACAUCUACCAGUUUCAACAUCUUGAACGAUCAUAUUGAUGCAUUCUGAUUUCUGAUGAAUCGUUAUUGGUAUUAUGAUUGGAGAUGUUGAAAUAUGGAUUUGCUAUGAUGUUGAAUGUGGUGAGGAAACAACUAUCUAUCUAGACAAGAGAACUUCCAAUUUUUUUGCUACCCAUGCACAGGAAGAUCCCUUAGGGAUAAACAUUCAUUUUUUUACCAUCUUCUUGAAUGUAGGGUUUGUCAACCAUACAUCUAAGGUGCGAAACGAUUUUAGACAUCAGCUCACUAAUUCACAAUCAACAAAGCUUUAGACCUUUGAACAUAUCUAGCCCUUCACUAUCUAUGAACAAUUUAUCAAUUCCGCUUACAAAGUUUCUCCUAUGCCAUGUAAAUUUCAUGCGAAGUAGGAUGUUCUACAAAUUCUAUAGUAUUUUACCACUACUAAAACUUUGUCACACGAUGUUAACAUUUGUUUUGCCCUUCCUUUCUUAUGGUUGUAGAAUCUCAUUAAAAAUCCCCAAAGAUCAUCAUUGAGUAAAGGUAUAAGCUUUCAACAUUAAUCAGUUGUUCUCAUAACUCUUGUUUACCUUCUCUGUUGUUUGGCACAUAGGUUAGGAUCAAUGGAAUUAUCUCAUUCUUAAGUAGUAUUUUACCUUUGAGCCAUAUCCACCUGUUAAUAUUUGAGAAACUUUUUCACUACAAAAUACUUAAAUCCCAUGAUAAAAUCAUACUAUCACUAUCUUCUACUAUUAGAGUCUCUUCCUAAUCAACAAAGUCAUUUCUCCACCAGCUAUGAAUUUCCCUCUUUUUACACUAGUUUUUAGAAUCCACAAAACCCAUAAGAGCGACACGCAUAUGUAGCAUAUUUUAUAUUUUCCCCACUCCCUAAUUCCUAUAACAUUCGAAAUCAAAAAAAUUAUCAUGAUAAAAUUAAAUUUGGGCAGAUCUAUUUCAGCUAUAGGCAAUCACCUCAUCAAAUGGUUGUACCCCCUUUUUAAUAAUGUUACUUCUUCUUACUGAUAUUCUUUAUCGGAUGACCUCUUCAUUCGUCCUCGCAGUUAGAUUCAAAAUUUUCCCCAUUUUCAUUGCCUCCACAAGUUCUUCUUCUAACACUUCCAAGCUCGAUUAUGCUUUCUCUUGUGUGUUUGUUGGAUGUCUUUUGUCUCUUUACCUUUUCAUGGUAAUUGAUGUGUGCGAUGGAGUGUAUUGAGUAUAUUUAUAGGUCAUAACAAUUGUUGUUGUCUUGCGCCCUAGGAAAUGAGUUGGUAUCUAUAGCUAGUAAGGUAAAAAGAAAUUGAAUUUAACUUAUUUGUGGAAACAUAUCUAUUGAUAGAACCCACUAUAUAAGAAGAAGAUGUUGUAUAUGAAUCACUUACAUAUUCUUGAGCCUCUCGUU
rnacentral:lncRNA from 1 species